ensembl:lncRNA
AGAGGCGUAGGGCUGCUCGCCGCUAGGGCCGGCCUUCCCGCCUCGUUCCUUCGGGGCCCGCUGCAGGCGGUGACAGAUCCCUGCUCCCAAAUCCAAGCCCUGGUUCUUUCGCGAGGUACUCCCGUGGAGCCCGACGUGAGCUCGUCCCCUCCCCGGUUUGCUCUGUGAGGGACUUCUUGACUCCCCAGGUCCUCGGUGCUAUUUCUUCUAAGAGAAGCUGAACUUCUAACACACAGGGUUCAGGAGGACAACAUUCUGCAUGUGUACAAAUGGUCACCAGAUAAUCUCCACAAGUUACUGAAGAUGCCCUCUGACUCCUGGCUUUUCAUCAGCAAGAGACAUGGUGGAGUGAGUGAUAAACGAGUACUGCAUGUUGAUCUUUAUUAUCUUUGAAGAAUACAUCCUCGAGGAGCCUGCUAGAAAUGAACGCACUUACUUCUAAAGACAGCCGGUUAGUUUGUACCGAGAAGCAGCUCAAUUACACAAGAAAGCGUUUGGUGUGAGAUUGUUAGAGAAAGUGAAGUACAAAGGUAGCGUAGGAAGGCUUGCAGUUGGUCUGUGUGCCCGCCAGGAGGCACGGCAAGCUUGGGCUGCAGCUUGUUCAUAGUGCUGAGCAGAUCAGUAACGAAGGGAAGCAAAAGUUUUCCUCUGGUUUUUGCAUCCGGAAGAAGGAAAUUGAGAGAUUUCUAAUGAAUAUAUAGAAUAAAAAUGGGAGCGUGGAGAACUGGCAAGAAACUGGAGUAAUCAGAUGCAUGUGUGUUGAAACUAUCCUCCAGCCAAGGCUGUGAAUUGAAAUACACUUUGUUGCUGUUGUUCACUUUCAUAAAUGUCACAGUUGGUGUGACUGAAAACAAAAAUAUUGAUCAGUGCAUAAAGCAAUAAAGUGGCUCUUCUUAAGGUAUACAUAAGCAGCUGUGUAAGAGAACUUUCCAAAUUAGAUACCUGUGUGCACAUGUGGAAAAGGACCAAGUUCUGGUGCUGCAAACAUUUAUGCACGUGAAUCAUCAUAUCUAUUAUCUAUCAGUAUAUAUAUAUAAAAGAUUAGAAAAAGAAAACCCACACAAAGCAGACACGGACUUACCAAAAGGCACUGCACGUUUGGGACUGUGCAGCAGUCUGGUUUGGAAUAAGCUUAUCAGUUAUGUUUUGUCUCCAGUGGUGUAACUGAAUUAGGAGAAAUGAUCCCUUUCUCUGCCAGCCUAGGAGCAUGCAGAUCGCAUCUGGAACCUGAACAGUGGUGUACUCAAAGCUGCCACACGUUACAAUUUCUAUAACAUUUUAAUCAAAGCGCUCUUUCCGUCAUUUCAAAAUCAGAUGGUAAGUGAGGAAUUGAGCAUCAGAGAAGAAGCAAGCAAAAAGUUCUUUUCCCAGGCUUGAAAAGAAAAGAAAUAAGAGCACAGAAAGGAAAUAAAGAGAACCCCAAACUAUUAUUAAAGUCUCAUGAUUGUAUAUAUUUUUUU